rnacentral:misc_RNA from 1 species
GAAAUGCGAUACGUAAUGCGAAUUGCAGAAUUCAGUGAAUCAUCAAAUCUUUGAACGCAAAUUGCGCUUUCGGGAUAUGCCUGGAAGCACGCCUCUUUGAGUAUCGAUUAAAUCACCUCAGCACUUUGUGCUGGAAAAUGAGUGUUUUUCUUCAUUGACUCGUCGAUGAAGUCACUUUAAGCAUUCGGAAAGCGUUUAUCGCUCGAAGCUUUCUUAACUUUGCGAACGCAAAACUUGGAUAACUUCCUAUGUUUGAGUUUGUAUGAGUUGAGAAAUUCGUGUGUGUUUUCCCAAACGAUUUAACUCUGUAUUUGAACUAGAUCUCAAAUGAAGCGAGAGGACCCGCUGAACUUAA